GCCUGGGCUGGACAGAAGGGGCGUGGCCGACGUAGGACCGGGGUCUGGACCUCGGUCCCGCCUCUCAACAUUUCCUGCCUUUUCAGCCCGAAGAAACAAUAUGCAUUCAUUCACUAAAGCAAUAUUGUUUUUUAACAUCUGCGAUGGGCUCACAAGAAUGGUAGUGUGCACUACAUCUCAGGAACUGUGCUGGGAAUGUCACAUAAAUUAUAGAGAGAGAGGCAGAGGGAGAAGCAGGCUCCCAAGGAGCAGGAAGCCCGAUGCGGGACUCGAUCCCAGGACCCUGAGAUCAUGACCUGAGCCGAAGGCAGACGCUCAACCAUCUGAGCCACCCAGACCUGUUUACCCCUGAAACAAAGGAAGAUCACUUUUCUGUCUGGCUUUGGAGACAUUUGUAGAUGUGGUUGGAAUGUUUUCCCUAAUACAAUAUCCUCUCAAAUAAAACCUCUCCUUACCUAAGUUUGAUUUUUUUUUUAAUUCACGAGUGGUAAAUAUUUUAGUUGA